GAUCAAAUCAAGCGCGAGAAGGGCGUUUGGUGAAUGCCUUGGCAGCAAGAGGCGAUGAAGGACGUGAUACUCUGCGAUAAGCCAUGGGGAGCUGAGAAUAAGCUUUGAUCCAUGGAUUUCCGAAUGGGGCAACCCACCUGACAGUUCGAUAUAAUUGCCUUCGGGCAGCUUAUAUCUUGCUGAAACAGGUACUUAAGACCUGAAUACAUAGGGUUUUAAGAGCAAACCCGGGGAACUGAAACAUCUAAGUACCCGGAGGAAAGGACAUCAAUUGAUACUCCCCUAGUAGCGGCGAGCGAACGGGGACCAGCCGAGCCUUGAGAGUGACCAGAACAGUCUGGAAAGACUGGCCAUAGCGGGUGACAGCCCCGUAUGGGAAGCUCGAUAGGACGUAUUAAGUAGGGCGGGACACGUGAAAUCCUGUCUGAAGAUCGGAGGACCACCUUCGAAGGCUAAGUACUCCUUGCUGACCGAUAGCGAACCAGUACCGUGAGGGAAAGGUGAAAAGCACCCCGACGAGGGGAGUGAAACAGUACCUGAAACCGAACGCCUACAAUCAGUCGGAGCCCCCUUGCGGGGUGACGGCGUACCUUUUGUAUAAUGGGUCAUCGACUUGGUCUCACGUGCAAGCUUAAGCCGAUAGGUGUAGGCGCAGCGAAAGCGAGUCUUAAUAGGGCGUCGAGUUCGUGGGAUCAGACCCGAAACCGAGUGAUCUAGGCAUGGCCAGGCUGAAGGUAAGGUAACACUUACUGGAGGGCCGAACCCACAUCUGUUGAAAAAGAUCGGGAUGAGCUGUGCCUAGGGGUGAAAGGCCAAUCAAACUCGGAGAUAGCUGGUUCUCUGCGAAAUCUAUUUAGGUAGAGCGUCAUCCGAAUACCCUCGGGGGUAGAGCACUGGAUGGGUAAUGGGGCCCCACAGGCUUACUGAUCCUAACCAAACUCCGAAUACCGAGGAGUACUAGAUGGCAGACACACUGCGGAUGCUAACGUCCGUAGUGGAGAGGGAAACAACCCUGACCUCCAGCUAAGGCCCCCAAUUCGUGGCUAAGUGGGAAAGCAGGUGGGAUGUCCAAAACAACCAGGAGGUUGGCUUAGAAGCAGCCAUCCUUUAAAGAUAGCGUAACAGCUCACUGGUCUAAUCAAGACGUCCUGCGGCGAAGAUGUAACGGGGCUCAAGCCACGAGCCGAAGCUGAGGAUGCCGUAAGGCAUGGUAGCAGAGCGUAGUGUGACAUAACUCCAUGUCUCCUUACCGGGACGGUCUUUUCGAAGGCCUGGCCGGAUUGGAGACGCGGAGUUUUCUGUGAAGCCGGGGCGUGAGCCAUCCGGUGGAGAGAUCACUAGCGAGAAUGAUGACAUGAGUAGCGACAAAGAGUGUGAGAGACACUCUCGCCGAAAGUCCAAGGGUUCCUGCUUAAAGCUAAUCUGAGCAGGGUAAGCCGGCCCCUAAGCCGAGGCCGAAAGGCGUAGGCGAUGGGAACCAGGUUAAUAUUCCUGGGCCAGGAGGAUGUGACGGAUCGUGAAGGUUGUUCACCCUUAUCGGAUUGGGUGGGCCGCUGAUCGGUUCCUGGAAAUAGCCCUCCACCAGACCGUACCCUAAACCGACACAGGUGGACUGGUAGAGAAUACCAAGGCGCUUGAGAGAACGAUGUUGAAGGAACUCGGCAAAAUACCUCCGUAAGUUCGCGAGAAGGAGGCCCAGUUUCUAGGCAACUAGUGGCUGGGGGCACAAACCAGGGGGUGGCGACUGUUUACUAAAAACACAGGGCUCUGCGAAGUCGCAAGACGACGUAUAGGGUCUGACGCCUGCCCGGUGCCUGAAGGUUAAAAGGAGGAGUGAGAGCUCCGAAUUGAAGCCCAGGUAAACGGCGGCCGUAACUAUAACGGUCCUAAGGUAGCGAAAUUCCUUGUCGGGUAAGUUCCGACCUGCACGAAUGGCGUAACGACUUCCCCGCUGUCUCCAACAUCGACUCAGCGAAAUUGAAUUGCCUGUCAAGAUGCAGGCUUCCCGCGGUUAGACGGAAAGACCCCGUGCACCUUUACUACAGCUUCACAUUGGCAUUAGGCCGAGCAUGUGCAGGAUAGGUGGUGGGCUUCGAAGCAGGGACGCCAGUCUCUGUGGAGCCUCCCUUGAGAUACCACCCUUGCUCUGCUUGAUGUCUAACCGCGGUCCGUUAUCCGGAUCCGGGACCCUGUGUGGCGGGUAGUUUGACUGGGGCGGUCGCCUCCUAAAGCGUAACGGAGGCGCGCGAAGGUUGGCUCAGAGCGGUCGGAAAUCGCUCGUUGAGUGCAAUGGCAGAAGCCAGCCUGACUGCGAGACUGACAAGUCGAGCAGAGUCGAAAGACGGCCAUAGUGAUCCGGUGGUCCCGAGUGGAAGGGCCAUCGCUCAACGGAUAAAAGGUACGCCGGGGAUAACAGGCUGAUACUGCCCAAGAGUCCAUAUCGACGGCAGUGUUUGGCACCUCGAUGUCGGCUCAUCUCAUCCUGGGGCUGGAGCAGGUCCCAAGGGUACGGCUGUUCGCCGUUUAAAGAGGUACGUGAGCUGGGUUUAGAACGUCGUGAGACAGUUCGGUCCCUAUCUGCCGUGGGUGUAGGAUACUUGAGAGGAGUUGCCCCUAGUACGAGAGGACCGGGGUGAACGAUCCACUGGUGGACCUGUUGUCGUGCCAACGGCAGUGCAGGGUAGCUAUGAUCGGACAGGAUAACCGCUGAAGGCAUCUAAGCGGGAAGCCCCCCUCAAAACAAGGUAUCCCUGAGGGCCGUGGGAGACCACCACGUCGAUAGGCCGGAGAUGUAAGCGCAGCAAUGCGUUCAGUUGACCGGUACUAAUUGCCCGAUAGGCUUGAUUUGAUCCAG
rnacentral:rRNA from 1 species